CCCUCAGAAUCUUAUCAGCAGGUGAAGGGAAGGCAUACCCUACCAAUUUCCCAUAAUAUGUAAUGAAACGAAUUAUAUAAUACUGAAGUAGUGUGUACAAAUGCACAAUCAGAUGAAUUUAGUCAAUACAAUUAUGUUAGUAGUACUUUAUAGAAUAGCAUGCAAUAAAGUGGUUAUAACAUAGCAAUUGUGUGGAAGCAAGUUAUAGGCCUAGUAUGCCUACUCAUAGGCUACUGAAAACUCAGAUAGCCUAUACCCUUAAUUUCAGUGUAAUUAUGUUCUUCUUUCAGGCUAUUACACCACAUUUGUUGUGCUAUAGUACAGCAACAUGCUACAGUAAGGUUGUGUUCUGUCAGAAAGGGAUGCCAAACCCCGAUCACUGAGUUCUAGUCAAGGCUUGACAGGUCUAUCAAUCAGUUAGUUACAAAUCAAUGAAGGACGUUUCUCAGACACAUGCUUACCAUUUGACACACUGUAGCAUGACUGUCAUCUACAAAUGCCAUCUCUCUCUCUUACUUGCUUCCCAUUCUCUUAUUGUGUUCAACUCUCUCCACUCACGUCUGUCUGAAUGUCCCUGUGUCUCUGUUAGUCUGGCCCUUCUCCUCUCCCUGUGAAUGGUGCUCUGUAACUUUAUGGUUCACCAUAUGUCCUUCUCGUCCUGUGAGUGGAGACUGUGCGCCUCCAUAGACCCCUAUGACAGAUGGCCUGCAGAUAUUGAUGACCGCAGGCUGCAGCCCCCCCACCUUUCUGACAGCGCUUCUGGUUGUCGUAAAGGUCACAGGGAAACAGGACACCUCUCCCAGAGAAGAAGUGUCACGAUGGGCAGCCACACCGGUCACUCUUUGACUCCUGACCUCACGGAGGAAAGAGGGGAUAGAAGGUGA
rnacentral:lncRNA from 1 species